UACGUAGGGUGCAAGCGUUGUCCGGAAUCAUUGGGCGUAAAGCGCGCGUAGGUGGCUUCGUAAGUCCGUUGUGAAAGUCAAAGGCUCAACCUUUGAAAGCCGAUGGAUACUGCGGAGCUAGAGUACGGAAGAGGCGAGUGGAAUUCCUGGUGUAGCGGUGGAAUGCGCAGAUAUCAGGAGGAACACCAAUAGCGAAGGCAGCUCGCUGGGACGUUACUGACACUGAGGCGCGAAAGCGUGGGGAGCGAACAGGG
rnacentral:rRNA from 1 species